rnacentral:lncRNA from 1 species
AUGUCUCUACCCGGAGCUAAUGGCUUGCAGCGCGGCAGGGCUUUCAGACUAAUCGCACCAUUCUUCCCGUGCUCUGACAAUGCUGCUGGAUUUGAGCAUCUUUUUUCCUCCCCACCCUUCUGGCUUGGGCAGGGCUCCAAGAAAUAUGCCUCCUCCCCAGAAAGCCACCCUGUGCUGCUGCCAGUGUUAUUUCCAAGUGUUUCUCUCAGGGAAAGCUGGGCAGCUAAUUCAGUGGGAGAAUGCAAGAGGAGUAAGAGAGGAAAAAGAGAGGGAGGGGAAAGGUUAAAAAAAAAAAGAAAAAAGAGGGAGGGGGGAGGGGAGGCAAAGCUGCUCGUUUCCAUGCUCUCACAUCCACAUGCAGAGCAGAGAAGGGUGGAUAGCAUGAAGCGUCUCCUCUGCUGUGCAGCAGCUCAGAGAAAAAGAAAAAUAAAUCAGAAGAGGAUGGAAAGGGGAGAUUUGGAAGGGCAGAGGUUCCCUGCACUUCAGGACUCCUGGCAGGCGAAGCGUGAGAGCUGUGAGUCAUGCAUCAAUCGGAGCCCUGCAUCAAUCGGAGCCCCGCGGCAGGAGAUCCAGAAGAGAAAAACUCUUUGUCUCUCCAUACAGCAUCCAGCAGUAUGGCAGGGUUGGAGAUCACAGAAUCACAGAAUUGAAGGGGUUGGAAGGGACCUCGAAAAAUAA